rnacentral:rRNA from 1 species
UACGGAGGGUGCAAGCGUUAAUCGGAAUUACUGGGCGUAAAGCGCGCGUAGGCGGUUAUUUAAGUCAGCUGUGAAAGCCCCGGGCUUAACCUGGGAACUGCAGUUGAUACUGGAUGACUAGAGUACGAGAGAGGGAGGUAGAAUUCCACGUGUAGCGGUGAAAUGCGUAGAUAUGUGGAGGAAUACCAGUGGCGAAGGCGGCCUCCUGGCUCGAUACUGACGCUGAGGUGCGAAAGCGUGGGGAGCAAACAGG